rnacentral:rRNA from 1 species
AACGUAGGACACAAGCGUUAUCCGGAGUUACUGGGCGUAAAGGGCGUGUAGGCGGAUCGGUAAGUCUACUCUGAAAGCUCCUGGCUAAACUGGGAGAGGCGAGUGGAGACUGUCGGUCUAGAGUGAGGAAGAGGAAAAGUGGAAUUCCGCGUGUAGUGGUGAAAUGCGUAGAGAUGCGGAGGAACACCAGUGGCGAAAGCGGACUUUCUGGUUCCUUUAAC